AACGAACGCUGGCGGCAGGCUUAACACAUGCAAGUCGAGCGGCAGUCUUCGGACUGUAGUGGCGCACGGGUGAGUAACGCGUAACUGACCUACCCCAAAGUCGCGGAUAACGAUUCGAAAGAAUCGCUAAUACGUGAUGUGCUGUCAGAUUGUGUUCUGCCAGUAAAGAUUGAUUGCUUUGGGAUGGGGUUGCGUUCCAUCAGCUAGUUGGUGGGGUAAAGGCCCACCAAGGCGACGACGGAUAGCCGGCCUGAGAGGGUGGCCGGCCACAGGGGCACUGAGACACGGGUCCCACUCCUACGGGAGGCAGCAGUUAGGAAUCUUCCACAAUGGGCGAAAGCCUGAUGGAGCGACGCCGCGUGAGGGAUGAAGGUCUUCGGAUCGUAAACCUCUGAAUCAGGGACGAAAGACACUUCGGUGGGAUGACGGUACCUGAGUAAUAGCACCGGCUAACUCCGUGCCAGCAGCCGCAGUAAAAC
rnacentral:rRNA from 1 species